rnacentral:rRNA from 1 species
AUUGAACGCUGGCGGCAUGCCUUACACAUGCAAGUCGAACGGUAACGGGCCUUCGGGUGCCGACGAGUGGCGAACGGGUGAGUAAUGUAUCGGAACGUACCUUUCAGUGGGGGAUAACGUAGCGAAAGUUGCGCUAAUACCGCAUAUUCUGUGAGCAGGAAAGCAGGGGAUCGCAAGACCUUGCGCUGAUUGAGCGGCCGAUAUCAGAUUAGCUAGUUGGUGAGGUAAAGGCUCACCAAGGCGACGAACUGUAGCGGGUCUGAGAGGAUGAUCCGCCACACUGGAACUGAGACACGGUCCAGACUCCUACGGGAGGCAGCAGUGGGGAAUUUUGGACAAUGGGGGCAACCCUGAUCCAGCCAUGCCGCGUGAGUGAAGAAGGCCUUCGGGUUGUAAAGCUCUUUCGGCCGGGAAGAAAUCGUAUCAGCUAAUACCUGGUGCGGAUGACGGUACCGGCAUAAGAAGCACCGGCUAACUACGUGCCAGCAGCCGCGGUAACAC